AUGGAGUGGAACAAGCUAGCGCAUCCAUUUCUUGCCUUUUACCAGAGAUGACCGUGGCUCAUGUCCAUAAUACCCCAUUCAUCAAAUCUUUGGAAUCAAACUUCUCAGAUC
rnacentral:snRNA from 1 species